UCAUCUCUGUGCGUUUGGCGUUUAUAACCUUUGGCAACUCAGCACUAAAAAAGGCAGAAGGCUUUAUGCAAAUGAUCCACUUUUCCCGACACUGUUUUCUAUUCUGUUGUUAAUGAUAUGGUGCUUCGAGUAACUUAAAAUGAAUGAUAAGGUGCUGGACUAGGAGCGAGCCUGUUCAGUAUGCACAGAGCCGCCACCUGCACGGGAGUGGAUGAAAAUACAUUGAAAUGUUUGAUGUUUGACUCUCAGAAAGAAGGCAACAGCCUUCAUUCGAAUUGCGGGACAUUUCGUGAGAAUGGAAACGCCGAUUGGACUUUUAAGGGAAUCUCUUGUUGCAAGAAGGUAUAUAAAGACAAGCUGCAACUCACAUAGUGAUCCAAAAAAGCAACCAUGAAGAUCAAGUAGCUUUCGAAACAAGUCAGGGAUAAAGUGGUAGUGAGGCACAGAGCAGGAGAAGGGUACAAGAAAAUUUCAAAGGCGCUGAUUAUCCCUCUCAGCACAGUGAAGUCCAUCAUUAAGAAGUGGAAGAUGCAUCAUACCACCCAGAUCAGUUCGUCCUUCCAAACUGAGCAGCCGGGCAAGCAGGAAACUGGUUCAGGAUGUCACUCUGAAGCCAACAAUGACCUUGAGAGAUCUGCAAAGUUCUGUGUCUGAGAUUGGAGUCAGUGUUUACAUAUCAAGAAUAAGCCAGUCCCUACACAAAGCUGGCCUGUAUGGACGGGUGGCAAGAAAGAAGCCAUUAUUCAGAAAACACUCAUCUUAAAGCACGUAUGGAGUUUGCGAAAAAGCAUGUAGAUGAUACUGCAGACAUGUGGAAAAAGGUUUUGUGGUCAGGCGAGACAAAAAUUGAACUUUUCGGUCUAAAUUCCAAGCAUUAUGACUGGUGCAAGCCCAACACUGCACAUCACCCAGUCAACACCAUCCCAACUGUCAAGCAUGGUGGUGGCAGCAUCAUGUUAUGGGGCUGCUUCUCUUCAACAGAGACUGGGAAGCUUCUCAGGACAGAGCGGAGAAUGGAUGGUGCAAAGUACAGGCGAAUCCUUGAGGAAAACCUGUUUGAGUCAGCCAAGACUCUGAAACUGGGGAGGAAAUUCACAUUUCAGCAGGACAAUGACCCAAAGCACAAAGCCAAAGCCACACUGGAAUGGUUGAACAAGAAGAGAAAUAAUGUUCUUGAGUGGCCCAGUCAAAGUCCCUGACUUGAAUCCAAUCGAAAAAGACUCAUAGCAGUAAUUGCUGCAGAGGUGCUUCUACCAAGUACUGACUUAAGGGGCUGAAUACUUAUGCAACCAGUAAAUUUCAUUUUGUACAUUUUCUUUGCAAGUUUCGCUGACAUUUUACCUCCUAUAACAGUGUUCAGUUUAACCACUACUGCUUUGAAUAAAAAAAAAAGUUUAUUUGAAAAACUGUGCACACAUUAUUUGUAAUUCAACAAAAUGUGACAUUAUUGGUAGGGGGUGAAUACUUUUGCAAACUAUAUAUAUGUGUGUGUAUAUAUAUAUAUAUAUAUAUACGAAGUGGAAGAUAUUACUGUAGUUCAAAAGAAGAUAUCAGUUGGUAUAUUUUGACCUAUACAUUGAGCUUUUGAAUCAUAUUGAUUGACAGUGUUGGAAUAAUUAGAUGAUUAUUUCUUGAAUAUUGAUUUUAAUAUUUCAAAGUGUAGAGACAAGGUUACACCAGAGGUUCCCAAUCUGCAUCUGUGAGCAGCUCGCACGAUUGAAACCCAUUGUUUUAAACAGUUUGAUUGAAAGUUGUGAAAUACAGUAUAUAAAAUAAAUGCAUGUAACAUUUA